rnacentral:rRNA from 1 species
AAAAAAUAACGAUACGGGACUCUAUUGAGGCCCCGUAAUCGGAAUGAGUACACUUUAAAUCCCUUUAACAAGGAUCCAUUGGAGGGCAAGUCUGGUGCCAGCAGCCGCGGUAAUUCCAGCUCCAAUAGCGUAUAUUAAAGUUGUUGCGGUUAAAAAGCUCGUAGUUGGUUCUGCGUGCCACGCUGUCGGUUCGCCGCCUGUCGGUGUAACUGGCAUGUCGUGGCAUGUCCUGUCGGUGGUAAACGGUAUCCCUGGUACGAUGUAGGCUUUAAUAGCUGAAGUCUGUACCAUGUGUGAUAACGUUUACCGAUCUCUCCUACUCCGGUGCUCUUAAACGAGUGUCGAGGUAGGCCGACACGUUCACUUUGAACAAAUUAGAGUGCUUAAAGCAGGCUUAAAUAUCCGCCUGAAUAGUGGUGCAUGGAAUGAUAAAACAGGACCUCAGUUCUAUUUUGUUGGUUUUAGGAAUAUGAGGUAAUGAUCAAUGUGGACUGGCGGGGGCAUUCGUAUUGCGACGUUAGAGGUGAAAUUCUUGGAUCGUCGCAAGACGCACUAGAGCGAAAGCAUUUGCCAAGUAUGUCUUAAUUGAUCAAGAACGAAAGUUAGAGGUUCGAAGGCGAUCAGAUACCGCCCUAGUUCUAACCAUAAACGAUGCCAGCCAGCGAUCCGCCGAUGUUCCUUUAAUGACUCGGCGGGGAGCUUCUACUCGGGAAACCAAAGCUUUUGGGUUCCGGGGGAAGUAUGGUUGCAAAGCUGAAACUUAAAGGAAAU